GAUGAACGCUGGCGGCGUGCUUAACACAUGCAAGUCGAACGGAAAGGCUCCUGCUUGCAGGGGUACUCGAGUGGCGAACGGGUGAGUAACACGUGGGUGAUCUGCCCUGCACUUCGGGAUAAGCCUGGGAAACUGGGUCUAAUACCGGAUAGGACGAUGGUUUGGAUGCCAUUGUGGAAAGUUUUUCGGUGUGGGAUGAGCUCGCGGCCUAUCAGCUUGUUGGUGGGGUAAUGGCCUACCAAGGCGUCGACGGGUAGCCGGCCUGAGAGGGUGUACGGCCACAUUGGGACUGAGAUACGGCACAGACUCCUACGGGAGGCAGCAGUGGGGAAUAUUGCACAAUGGGCGGAAGCCUGAUGCAGCGACGCCGCGUGGGGGAUGACGGCCUUCGGGUUGUAAACUACUUUCGCUAGGGACGAAGCGCAAGUGACGGUACCUGGAGAAGAAGCACCGGCUAACUACGUG
rnacentral:rRNA from 1 species